rnacentral:rRNA from 1 species
AUUGAACGCUAGCGGGAUGCCUUACACAUGCAAGUCGAACGGAGUGGCGAACGGGACGGUAAUGUAUCGGAACGUACCCAGUAGCGGGGGGUAACUACGCGACAGCGUAGCUAAUACCGCAUCCUUUUCCAGCGGCCGAUAUCGGAUUGGCUGGUGGGUGGGGUAGGGGAUCACCAAGGCGACGAGCCGUAGCCGGGUUGAGAGGAGGACCAGCCACACGGGAACUGAGACACGGCCCAGACCCCUACGGGAGGCAGCAGUGGGGAAUUUUGGACAAUGGGGGAAAGCCGGAUGCAGCCAUCCCGCGUGUGCGAUGAAGGCCUUCGGGUUGUAAAGCACUUUUGGCAGGAAGGCGGUACCUGCAGAAGAAGCACCGGCUAACUACGUGCCAGCAGCCGCGGUAAUAC